GACGAACGCUGGCGGCGUGCUUAACACAUGCAAGUCGAACGGAAAGGCCCUGCUUUUGUGGGGUGCUCGAGUGGCGAACGGGUGAGUAACACGUGAGUAACCUGCCCUUGACUUUGGGAUAACUUCAGGAAACUGGGGCUAAUACCGGAUAGGAGCUCCUGAUGCGUGGUGGGGGUUGGAAAGUUUCGGCGGUUGGGGAUGGACUCGCGGCUUAUCAGCUUGUUGGUGGGGUAGUGGCUUACCAAGGCUUUGACGGGUAGCCGGCCUGAGAGGGUGACCGGCCACAUUGGGACUGAGAUACGGCCCAGACGCCUACGGGAGGCAGCAGUGGAGAAUAUUGCACAAUGGGCGGAAGCCUGAUGCAGCAACGCCGCGUGCGGGAUGACGGCCUUCGGGUUGUAAACCGCUUUCGCCUGUGACGAAGCGGGAGUGACGGUAAUGGGUAAAGAAGCACCGGCUAACUACGUG
rnacentral:rRNA from 1 species